CUCGUCUGACCUCCACUUUGCAGUCCCUUCUCAGCAACAGAAAGAAAGAAGAAAGUGGACAGAUGGAGCUUCUUCCUCAGCAGUGGUCAGCAUAUCUAAAACACGCACUAGUCCUUGGCCCUCUUUCUCAGAUCCCCGGUCAGAGUUCCCAGCCAUGCCUGCUGCCACC